AAUCAACGCUGGCGGCGCGCCUAACACAUGCAAGUCGAACGAGAAAGUGGAGCAAUCCAUGAGUAAAGUGGCGUACGGGUGAGUAACACGUGGAUCAUCUGCCCUUUUGUGGGGAAUACCGCUGGGAAACCGGUGACAAUACCGCAUAAUCUCGAGAGAGGAAAGCAGCAAUGCGCAGAAGGAGGAGUCCGCGGUCGAUUAGUUAGUUGGCAGGGUAAAAGCCUACCAAGACUGUGAUCGAUAGCCGGCCUGAGAGGGCACACGGCCACACUGGCACUGAAACACGGGCCAGACUCCUACGGGAGGCAGCAGUGGGGAAUCUUGCACAAUGGGGAAACCCUGAUGCAGCGACGCCGCGUGAGCGAUGAAG
rnacentral:rRNA from 1 species